rnacentral:rRNA from 1 species
UACAGAGGUCCCAAGCGUUGUUCGGAUUCACUGGGCGUAAAGGGUGCGUAGGUGGCCAGGUAAGUUUGGUGUGAAAAGCUCGGAGCUUAACUCCGAAAAGUCAUUGAAUACUAUCUGGCUGGAGGGUCGGAGGGGAGACUGGAAUUCUCGGUGUAGCAGUGAAAAUGCGUUAGAUAUCGAGAGGAACACCAGUGGCGAAGGCGAGUCUCUGGACGACUCCCUGAUACUGAGGCACGAAAAGCUAAGGGGGAGCAAACAGG